GGGGAGUUAACUGUGAAGGCACUUAAUCUCCUCAUUGAGGAACGCCGGACUUUGUUUCCAACGGAGGAAUUUCUGGCAUCAGAGAGCAGAUAGGGCAGAGGUGCUUUCUUCUGCUGCUCCUCAAGGCUCACAGCUUGCUAUGGAAGCAUCCUUGGAGGACAUCUCCUUCCCUGGCCUUUCCAUCAACGUUGGUUAAUCCAAUCUCCACCUUUUCUUACGAGAUUGACAUGUGAGAAAAGCUAGAAUGUGAAGUCCUGUCAUCAGAUGAUGUGACUACGUGGAAUGAGGACUAUAGCUGCUCUCUUAAAAACCUGCAGCCCCCUCUCUCAGCCCAGACAGUUGAGAUAAGUAAACUGAGGCCCAAAGAAGUUAAGUAAAUUUCCUAAAGUCACAAGACAAAGGAGGGGCGGAGCUGUGAUUUGAAGUUGGUGCUGUUUGACUCCAAAGGUAAGGGCCCCUGCCACCUGACUGUUUUUGCAAAAUGCCUCUGGUGCUUCAGGAGCCAUAAAUAUUCUGCAGAACUGGCUAUAGAGUUUUCAAUGUAAAAUGAAAACAUGGGUCCUCUUGUUCAGAAAUUAUUAAGAAUUCAAGAUGGCAGCAGCAGAGCAUUAAACCAAGCAUGGGACCCUGUGCACAGCUGUGUGCCCAUGAGGCCAGCCCUGAUGCUAUGUGGUAGGCUCUAUCGAACGUUCUAAUGAAAUGAGUCUGCUCAGAGGCACCUUGGUGGGGUAGUAAGAGCCCCAGAUUUGAGCAUGGGCAUACUGAGUUUUAGUAAUAGCUCUUUGAAUAACUUCCUGUUGACUUUGAGCACAUUAUUUAACUUCUUGGAGGUUCAGUUUAGUCAUCCAUAAAAUGGAGAGAGGGAGAAGUGGGAAGGUGGUGGACUACAUCCGUAUUUCUCCAACUCCAGUUAUUUAUAUACCACAUUUUUAGUAUAUAACCAUUUAGGCUAUAACCAUGGCCUCUGGCCCCACACUCCCUGAGUUCUAAUCUUGGCUCUGCUAUAUUCUAGCUAUGUGACCUCAGACAAGUGCCUCAGUUUCCUCAUCUGUAAAAUAGAGAUUGCUGUGAGGAUUACAUAAAUAAAUAAGUAAAGCCCUCAGAAUAAUGGCUGAUAUGUGAUAAGCACGAUACAAGUGCUCAUUAUUACUAUUCCUAUGACUCAUACAGUACCUGUACUAGUAGUACUAACGUUUUUUCUUUAAUACGACUCACAUAUUAAAUUUAAAAAAGUCAUCUAUAGUCUCUUUCCAAGUAAUAGUAUUUGUGAAAUCACCAGAUUCAUGUGUAUGUGUGGUUUUUCUAACCCAGGUGAAAAUGUAUAAUAACAUAUUUUAAAUGUACAAUAUUUUUAAAAGUUCAUUCAUAUGCUUUCUAAUACCAGUUGAAAAUAUUACCAAUGGAAUGGGCACCACACUGUGGGUAGCAUUGUACUAGACACUGAAGGCCCUUUUCAGCUUUAAUAGUCUAUGAAUAAAUAAGUCUAUGUGUA